AAAAUGUUGAGAGUUGAAGAUAUUGAUUUAACAAGUUUUUCUGUAGAUAUUUGGAUAUUGGUAAUAAUUUUUAUCUUUGAGAUUAAAUAGAAUGGUUGAUUUUUUUUUUUCUUCUUUUUUUUUCUUGAAUAAAUAUUCUCUGUUUGAGACUUUAUUAAAUUAAUCCAAAUAUCCUUUUUAAAUAUAACUUACAAUAUUAUUUAAAUAUAUUUUUGAUAUAGACUAAAAUAAAAAAUAUAUAUACAAAAGAUUCUAGUUCUAAUGUUGUACAAUCCAAUAGAGUCAACUUUCUACUAUUCUAUAUUUUACAUUUAUCUAUUAUCCUUAAAUUUUUCUUCUUUCUUAUUUACUUGUAUUGGAAGAGCAAUGGAGAUAAUUAAUUUCCUU
rnacentral:lncRNA from 1 species